AAUAACAGCAGAUCUGAAAGCAGGAAUACAUCGUUAUUUAUGGAUGGAAAAAUCAUAUCACAAGAAAAGACUUGACUGGAAAAAGCUCCCAUGUAAUAAGGAAAGGACUUUUUGGAAUUUGGAAAAAGAUUAGUCUAAGGCUUAGUCUUUCGGUUUCACCUCUAAAAUCUCCUAUAGAAAUUUAAUAUUACAGAGAGACAUGAAAGAAGAAUGAUAACAUACUUUACAAAGAAAUGAUUAGUGAAGGGAAUAUCAAGUCAUAGAAAGAGAUAAAGGAUGAAGGAAAGGUAAUAAAAUGGCUGAUACUUUCAAUUAAUGUCCAGACUCAGAAGGUAAUUAAAAUCAGAGGGAAGAAGUUUAAGAGACAUGAUAGAACUAGAAAAAGAGAUUACAUCACAGAAACAAUAUUUGUUGGAAAGGAUGUAUAAAAUCCUGCUUAAAUAUGAAACAGAAACAGAGCAAAUAAAAGUUUGUAUGGUAAAAUGGAUGUAAAAUCUCAAAGAAUAACCUUCCAAUAAUGAGAGCCAUCAUGGUCAUAAAAUAUUAUGUUUACUACAUGCCAUAUGUUAAAAGAGGACCAGUAUAAAAUGUUUAACAGAUGGUAUAUGAUUUUCAAAGACAUUAUGCAAAUGAACAAAAAUAGUAAAAAUCUUUGGUGGAAAUGUCAAAAAGUAGAUCCUUCUUUUACAUUUGGUGGACUUGAAAAAGA